GAUGAACGCUGGCGGCGUGCCUAAUACAUGCAAGUCGAGCGACCAGACGAGAGUGCUUGCCCUCUCUGACGUUAGCGGCGGACGGGUGAGUAACACGUGGGUAACCUACCUAUAAGACUGGGAUAACUUCGGGAAACCGGAGCUAAUACCGGAUAAUAUUUAGCUUCGCAUGAAGCAAUAGUGAAAGACGGUUCUGCUGUCACUUAUAGAUGGACCCGCGGUGUAUUAGCUAGUUGGUGGGGUAACGGCUCACCAAGGCAACGAUACAUAGCCGACCUGAGAGGGUGAUCGGCCACACUGGGACUGAGACACGGCCCAGACUCCUACGGGAGGCAGCAGUAGGGAAUCUUCCGCAAUGGACGAAAGUCUGACGGAGCAAUGCCGCGUGAGUGAAGAAGGUUUUCGGAUCGUAAAACUCUGUUGUAAGGGAAGAACAAGUACGUUAGUAACUGAACGUACCUUGACGGUACCUUACCAGAAAGCCACGGCUAACUACGUG
rnacentral:rRNA from 1 species